GCAGUAUCCUAACUGUGCUAAGGUAGCAUAAUCAUUAGUCUUUUAAUUGGAGACUGGUAUGAAUGGCUAAACGAGAAAUUGACUUUUUUUACUAUUUAAAUUGAACUUAAUUUUUUAGUGAAAAAGCUAAAAUGUUUCAGAAAGACGAGAAGACCCUAUAGAGUUUAAUAUUAAUUUGAAUUUAUUUUUAGUAGAUUUUUAAAGAAAAAGUUUAAUAAAAUAUUUUGUUGGGGCGACAUUAAGAUAAAAAAAACUCUUUAUUUUUUACAUUUUAAUAAAAGAAUUUUAUGAUCCUCUACAAGGGAUCAAAAGAAAAAAUUACCUUAGGGAUAACAGCGUAAUCUUUUUUGAGAGUUCUAAUCGACAAAAAGGUUUGCGACCUCGAUGUUGGACUAAAAUUUAGGCAGGGUGCAGCAGUUCUGCUUUUAGGUCUGUUCGACCUAUA
rnacentral:rRNA from 1 species